ACAUCUCUUUGAUUUCUAAGGUUAAGACCACUGGUCCGAAGCCAGCUGAACACUGGCUGCUGGGAUGGAUACUGGCCUACUUGGAAUCUGGUUAUUGACCUGCAGAGGUCAGACCUACUGUGAAAUCCCUGCCAAUGCUGAAACUCCCUGAUAGUGUAUGAUGAACUUUUCUUUCGUCUGGGUUCCUGAGAGAUAAUUAACAGAGUAGAGCUCCCCAGCAACCCCCUAAUGGACACGCAGCCUACGGUUCUGUGCAAGGACAGGAGGACAAGCAAGCAGGAACAAAGAGGGCAGCUCUCAUGUCCUCGAGCCACUGUCAACAAACUGGAUAUAAUUACAAUCAGGACACUUGAGAAAUUGAACCAAAAAGUUCAUCCUCUCAUAUUGAAUUUUAAGGUGAUUUUCAGUCAUGUAACAGGGUAAAAGGAGGUCAGUUUGAAAACAUGGCGAGGUAGGAAUAUUGGUGUGAGGUUUUCUAGAGCAACUUAUUUAACUGGGAGAUUGCCUGAGAACCUUUUAAGAAAUACCAGGAGGUCUUGAAGAAUUGUUUCAUUUUCCCCAAUAUUUGUUUUCUGUGAAAUUUAUUCUGCUGAACCUUCAAAACAGAAAUAAAAAGAAUGGGAA